rnacentral:rRNA from 1 species
GACGGAGGGUGCAAGCGUUGCUCGGAAUCACUGGGCGUAAAGGGUGCGUAGGUGGGCAGGUAAGUCAGUGGUGAAAUCUCCGGGCUUAACCCGGAAACUGCCAUUGAUACUAUCAGUCUUGAAUACCGUGGAGGUAAGCGGAAUAUGUCAUGUAGCGGUGAAAUGCUUAGAUAUGACAUAGAACACCAAUUGCGAAGGCAGCUUACUACCCGAAUAUUGACACUGAGGCACGAAAGCGUGGGGAUCAAACAGG